rnacentral:rRNA from 1 species
CCGCAAGGCUAAAACCCAAAGGAAUUGACGGGGGCUUACACAAGCGGUGGAGCAUGUGGUUUAAUUCGAAACAACGCGCAAAACCUUACCAAUCCUUGACAUAUGAAAAACCAGGGUGUUUACCCGCUCUGUCUCUUUUAUACAGGUGCUGCAUGGCUGUCGUCAGUUCGUGGUGUGAGCUGUUGGGUUAAGUCCUAGAACGAACGCAACCCUCCUUUGAAAUGAAGGUUUACCUUUUUCAAAGACUGCCAAGGAUAUCUUGGAGGAAGGUGAGGAUGACGUCAAGUCCGCAUGGCCCUUAUGGGUUGGGCUACACACGUGCUACAAUGGGAAUGACAAAAGGAGGCAACAUGGCAACAUUGAGCAAAUCCCAAAAAGUUUCCUUAGUUCGGAUUGUUCUCUGCAACUCGAGAACAUGAAGUUGGAAUCGCUAGUAAUCGUAGAUCAGCACGCUACGGUGAAUUUGUAUCUAAGCCUUGUACACACCGCCCGUCACACUCUGAAAAUUUUCAUGCCUUGAAGCAAAAGAAGUUCACCAAGAACACACAGCGCAAUUAAAAAAAAACAUCUUCCCUUUUUUUUUCUGUGUCUUUGUUGGAACCUUUUCUAGAGUUAGGGAGGUGAUUGGAGUG